AGUGAGCGCUGGCGGUAGGCCUAACACAUGCAAGUCGAACGGCAGCACAGUAAGAGCUUGCUCUUACGGGUGGCGAGUGGCGGACGGGUGAGGAAUACAUCGGAAUCUACUUUUUCGUGGGGGAUAACGUAGGGAAACUUACGCUAAUACCGCAUACGACCUACGGGUGAAAGCAGGGGAUCUUCGGACCUUGCGCGAUUGAAUGAGCCGAUGUCGGAUUAGCUAGUUGGCGGGGUAAAGGCCCACCAAGGCGACGAUCCGUAGCUGGUCUGAGAGGAUGAUCAGCCACACUGGAACUGAGACACUGUCCAGACUCCUACGGGAGGCAGCAGUGGGGAAUAUUGGACAAUGGGCGCAAGCCUGAUCCAGCCAUACCGCGUGGGUGAAGAAGGCCUUCGGGUUGUAAAGCCCUUUUGUUGGGAAAGAAAAGCAGCAGGUUAAUACCCCGCUGUUCUGACGGUACCCAAAGAAUAAGCACCGGCUAACUUCGUG
rnacentral:rRNA from 1 species